rnacentral:rRNA from 1 species
UUAUCGGCAUUGGAGCGGNCUAUCUCCUAUCAGCUUGUUGGUGAGGUAACGGCUCACCAAGGCAACGACGGGUAGCGGGACUGAGAGGUUGGCCCGCCACAUCGGGACUGAGACACUGGCGCGGACCUCCACGGAGGGCUGCAGUAACGGAUAUUGGGCAAUGGGCGAAAGCCUGACCCAGCAAUGCCGCGUGCAGGAUGAAGCCCCUAGGGGUGUAAACUGCUGUCAGGGGUCAGAAAGCUGGUUUCGGCCAGUUGAUCAACCCCAGAGGAAGUCACGGCUAACUUCGUGCCAGCAGCCGCGGUAAUACGAAGGUGGCAAGCGUUAUUCGGAAUCAUUGGGCUUAAAGGGCACGCAGGCGGAACAGUGUGUGUUGUGUGAAAUCCCCCGGCUUAACCGGGGAAUUGCACAGCAAACUGCUGUUCUUGAGGCAGGUAGGGGUGCAUGGAACUCUUGGUGGAGCGGUGGAAUGCGUAGAUAUCAAGAGGAACGCCAGAGGUGAAGACGGUGCACUGGGCCUGUCCUGACGCUGAGGUGCGAAAGCGUGGGGAGCGAACGGGAUUAGAUACCCCGGUAGUCCACGCCGUAAACGAUGUCUACUA